CAUUCGCCAGACAGCGACAUUCGACGCACGAGGCGUCGCGGGUCGACUGUACUGGUACGGGGUGGUGCCGCUCCACGCGAUCGUC
rnacentral:tRNA from 1 species